AAACGUCGUUUACAAAAGGAUAACCCACGUAAUCUAGUUCCACCGCAUCCCACGACGUCCUCCGCUUCCUCCCUCUUCUCUCUGUCUACGACCGCUACGUCCACACGUCGUCGUCCCUCCCUUCAAUUUUGAUUCCAAUGAUCACGCUUGAUGCUUUUGUUUGAAAUUAGGGCUCCAACAGGUAACUUGGCAAAAUCUUCCUCGAAACAAAGUAUAUCAUCAGUUCCAACGUUUGAUAUGGCGUUUUUGGUUGCCAUAAACAAUAUGAUGGUAUAAUGUUUGAAGGUCCCAAAUUGCAGGCCCUAGGUUGCGGUUAGCCUUUUAAUUGUUCCCCAUUCCACCUGGUAAUGUUAUGGUUUUCGUUUAUGUUUACCUGCUUACUAACAUUGUGUUACCAAUAUGAAUCCGAGAGGGGCCUUUGGCAAGCGUUCAAAAAAGUUUAGUUCUUAUUAAAGUGGUGAAUCUACACAUGGUCGUCGUUUGCGUAUGGUAUCAUGAAUGUUGAGAGUCAAUGAUAGGUGAUUGCUCCGCUUCGUCUCAAGGACAACACACCCCCACUUUCUGUGCUCCUUUACUUUGUAAUGAUGGUUUAGUGUUAAUGAUUUUGAUGUGCUCUCGGCACCUUUAACAUAUCGGAAAACUGUAAAAUACGAUCGCAUGACUUUGGACGUCGAUGGGUCGGCUAAACUUUUGUCAAGAAAUUGAGUUUCCCCCGCAAAGCGGGGGUCGGAAAAUUCUAGUUAA